rnacentral:misc_RNA from 1 species
AUGAAAUCUGUGUGAAGAAAGAUCUACUGAAAGAGCAAGUUUUCAUCCUUGGAAGAAUGGGGAAUGCGAAGCAAGCGCUUGCUGUUAUCAUUAAUAGGUUAGGAGAUAUAGAAGAGGCGAUAGAAUUUGUAAGCAUGCAACAAGAUGAUGAACUCUGGGAGGAACUGAUACAGCAAAGUUUUCAUAAGCCUGAAAUGGUUGGUGUAUUGUUAGAGCACACUGUAGGGAAUCUUGAUCCCCUUUACAUUGUCAAUAUGUUACCCAAUGACCUGGAGAUACCUCGUCUGAGGGAUCGUCUGGUCAAGAUUGUGACAGACUACAGGACAGAGACCUCUCUUAGACAUGGGUGCAAUGAU